rnacentral:rRNA from 1 species
AUUGAACGCUGGCGGCAUGCUUUACACAUGCAAGUCGAACGGUAACAGGCCGCAAGGUGCUGACGAGUGGCGAACGGGUGAGUAAUGCAUCGGAACGUGCCCAGUCGUGGGGGAUAACGCAGCGAAAGCUGCGCUAAUACCGCAUACGAUCUCUGGAUGAAAGCGGGGGACCGAAAGGCCUCGCGCGAUUGGAGCGGCCGAUGUCAGAGUAGGUAGUUGGUGGGGUAAAGGCCCACCAAGCCAACGAUCUGUAAGUGGUCUGAGAGGCCGACCAGCCACACGGGGACUGAGACACGGCCCAGACGCCUACGGGAGGCAGCAGUGGGGAAUUUUGGACAAGGGGCGCAAGCCUGAUCCUGCAAUGCCGCGUGCAGGAAGAAGGCCUUCGGGUUGUAAACUGCUUUUGUACGGAACGAAACGGUCCGGGCUAAUACCCUGGGCUAAUGACGGUACCGUAAGAAUAAGCACCGGCUAACUACGUGCCAGCAGCCGCCGUAA